GUUUUUUUUAUUAGUGUGCUCGCGAAGAUACAUCAAUCUCCUGCCUACGUAUCCUUAUGGUGCAAUAAGGAAAUCAGAGCAUUCGUAGUUCGGGCUACUACGAAUAUUUGGUGUGUUUUGUUUUGAUGAAAAUACAUCAAUCUCCUGCCUACGUAUCCUUAUGGUGCAAUAAGGAAAUCAGAGCAUUCGUAGUUCGGGCUACUACGAAUAUUUGGUGUGUUUUGUUUUGAUGAACGACUGUGUAGGUCGGUG
rnacentral:lncRNA from 1 species